rnacentral:rRNA from 1 species
CACCGCCCGUCACACCAUGGGAGUCAGUUGCUCCAGAAGUGGCUGCGCUAACCGCAAGGAGGCAGGCCCCUAAGGAGUGGCUGGUAACUGGGGUG